CAUGCGAAUAACAAAACAAACAAUUAAAACAAAAAACUGAAUAGAAAAAUAAAAUGCAGAAUACAACUCUCAAGCAGGUUUAAAGGCCAAUGAAUAAAAGUAAGUUUUAAGUCAUUAUUUAAAAAAAUGU